rnacentral:rRNA from 1 species
AGUAACACGUGGAUAACCUACCUAUAAGACUGGGAUAACUUCGGGAAACCGGAGCUAAUACCAGAUAACAUGUUGAACCGCAUGGUUCAACAGUGAAAGACGGUCUUGCUGUCACUUAUAGAUGGAUCCGCGCCGCAUUAGCUAGUUGGUAAGGUAACGGCUUACCAAGGCAACGAUGCGUAGCCGACCUGAGAGGGCGAUCGGCCACACUGGAACUGAGACACGGUCCAG